CCCAAGAUGAGGAAUUUUAAGGUCCAAUUUCGUGCAAAUAAGGUCAAGAAGAAUCCAAGAAUCAGCCACAACAAGAGUUGCUUUCUGCCCAAGUUUUGAGAGAAGACUAGUCAAACUUUCCAAGAUUGUCAAGAUUCUUUUCCUAGUUGGGAUUUACCUUAUUUCUUUAUUUAUUUAUUUAUAUAUAGGUUAUUAAUAUUUUCCUUAGUCUAUUUAUGGUCUCCUAAGUACCAUUUAAUGCUUUCCUAGAAGUACUAAAUUUGUUCCUAGUUAGGUUACUUUAUUUCCUUUCUAGAGUAGGAUUCCUUGUUAUUGUCUUUCUAGGGUUCCUUGGACG